CUUUUCAAUUGGUUAAUUUAGAGAAACGUGGAAGCUUAAUCGCUUUUAGCCAAGAGGAAACACUUUCAUUUCGUCUCAACUGGCCACGAGAAAUUCCCUUCCAAUCAAAUGAUAAAAGCAAAUGCAGGUCCGGCAGUCUCAUCUUCCGGCCAUGGCUUCUUCUUUUUAUUAAGCUUAAGUCCUUAUUGAAAUCAGAUUUAAAAUCAAAUAAAAUGCCACUUCAAUUGGCCGAGGAGGACAAAGAAGA